AGCGUAGGCGGUCUUUUAAGUUAGAUGUGAAAUACCCGGGCUUAACUUGGGAGGUGCAUCUAAAACUGGGGGACUUGAGUGCAGGAGAGGAAAGUGGAAUUCCUAGUGUAGCGGUGAAAUGCGUAGAUAUUAGGAGGAACACCAGUGGCGAAGGCGACUUUCUGGACUGUAACUGACGCUGAGGCUCGAAAGCGUGGGGAGCAAACAGGAUUAGAUACCCUGGUAGUCCACGCUGUAAACGAUGAAUACUAGGUGUAGGGGGUAUCAACUCCCUCUGUGCCGCAGCUAACGCAAUAAGUAUUCCGCCUGGGGAGUACGGCCGCAAGGUUGAA
rnacentral:rRNA from 1 species